rnacentral:lncRNA from 10 species
CAGUUUCUUAGAGCUGUCAUUCAAGAGUGGGUCAAAUUUGAGAUAUAAAAACCUUUCUCAAGGUAGACUCUUUGGCCCCUAUGCCUAGUAUGUCAGCUGGGCCUCUGAAGCUCUCCUCUUUGAGGUCCUGGCAGGCUCUGGCCCCUGUUGAGAAGGGGAAGCAGUCAUGUGAACUCAUGUGCUGGAAGAAUCCACUCUACCCCUUCCCUGGCUUCUCUGCUGCAAUUUUUGUCUUUAAACGUAUUUUCAGGUGAUUCCAGUUUGCAUACAUAAUUGAGAAAUAUAAGAUUUGGUCCCCAGUAGAGAGCCAGGUGAACUUAAGAAGGAGUCCAUCUAAGAAAAUUGCACAAUUAUCUAGUUUCACUUGGGUUUAGCUUUUAUGGCUUACUUGAUUUAGUAAUCAAAUGAUUUUCAAAUGAUUUUGAUCAGGUGACUCUUCGUAAACUAGAGAAUGAACUUGAGAGCCGAAUUAGCACAGUUUAAAAAUAAUCAUUUAGUUUUUGUUCUCUAUUGUGUAAAUUAUUGAGGUUUGACUGUCUUGGCUAAACUAAGGCUCAUCUAAUAUCUUUAUUUUUGAUAUCCUAAUUUCUUGCCAAUUAAUUGAAGGUAACAUACUAGCAGACCAGAUAACUACUUAUGCAAACCUCAGAUAACCACUAAUUUAAACAAAAUUAAAUCCUUUGCCUUCCCCAGAUCCUUUGCACAUGGCCUGCUAUCAACAAUCCUCUACAAUGAUUCUCAGCAUCACCUAGGGAGCUUAUGUAAAAUCUCAAAUUCCUGGGCCCUAUCCCCAGAGUUUCUUAUCAAUUUCCUUGAUGGAGAACUAUCAAAGCAGUCAAAGCUAUCAAAAUAAAAAAGAAUUCUGAUUGGGUGCAGUGGCUCACACCUGUCAUUCCAGCACUUUGAGAGGCCAAGGUGGGCAGAUCACAUGAGGCCAGGAGUUCAAGACCAGCCUGGCCAACAUGGCAGAAACCCCAUCUCUACUAAAAAUACCAAAAUUAGCCGGGCAUGGUGGAACACACCUGCAAUCCCAGCUACUCGGGAGGCUGAGGCAAGAGAAUCGCUUGAACCUGGGAGGCAGAAGUUGCAGUGAAACAAGUUGGUGCCAAUGCAUUCCAGCCUGGAUGAUGGAGCGAGACUCUGUCUCAAGAAAAAAAAAACAAAAACAAAAACAGAACUCUGCCUCAUAGCGUCUUUUAAGUUAUACACUGGACCUAUCCUUUCCUCACUGACAGACAUUUUAAAAAUUUUUUGGUAAGGCCUAGUUCAUAUAAAAUGUAAUCCAAGCCAAAAGUUAACAAGAAUAAGGGGAGGAAAGGGGACUCCAAUAGCAGAGAAAGGUAUUUACCUGGGAUAUACACUGCAAGAAAAUCAAAGCUAUAAGAAACGUCCAUGAAUAGUAGCCAUAAGGCAUCAGAGUGAUAAAAUUCCUGUCCCUAGGAGGGAAUAUUGGAGUUUGCCAGAGAAACAGAAUGAGAGAGACAGAGAGGUUUAUUGUAGGAAUUGGCUCAUAUGAUUACGGAGGCUGAGAAGACCCACGAUCUGCCAUCUGCAAGCUGGAGAAUCAGGAAAGCUGGAGGUGUAAUUCAGUCAAGUCCAAUGGCCAGAGAAGCAAGUGUACUGAUAUCCAAGAGCAGGAGAAAAUAGAUGUCCCAGAACAAGCAGAGAGGCUGAUUUUGUCCUUCCUCUGCCUUUUUGUUUCAUAUGGGGCACUGAAUGGACUGAUGCCCAUCCACAUUAGUGAGGGUGGAUCUUCUUUACUCAGUCUACCAGUAGAAAUGUCAAUGACUUCCAGAAACACCCUCACCAACACACGUGGAAAUAAUGUUUUACCAGGUAUCUGGGCAUCCCUUGGUUCACUCAAGUUGACACAAAAUUAACCAUCACAGAAGGAGACUGGCCUUACUCUGAAAUUAGGAAACUAAAGAAGUGACCAGAAUGGAGACUAGGUAGAGACAACUAGUUCUCUACCAAACAUGUACAGUUAUUCGUUGGUAUCUGAAGGGGAUUGGUUCCAGGAACUCUCAGGGAUACCAAAAUCUGCAGGUGCUCAAGUCAUUUAUAUAAAAUAUUACAGUAUUUGCAUAUAACCUUUGCACAUCUUCCAUAUACUUUAAAUCAUCUCUACAUUACUUAUAAUAAUGAAUGUGUAAAUGCUAUGAAAAUAGUUACUACACUAUUGUUUAUUUGUAUUUUUAUUGAAUUGUUUUGGGGUGGGGGGCAGCUGUAUCUUUCUUAGUAAUAGAACCCCUGGUUUUAGCUGGGCACAUGACUGCCCUCAAUAAAGAUUAAAGUACCCCAGCCUUCCUUGAGAUUGUGGCCAUGUGACUGAACUUUAGACAGUGAGAUAUAAGCAGAUAUCUUCUGUGGCAGUGUUAGGAAACUAUUAAAGACAGUAAGAACAUUGCCCUUUGCCUUCUUUUUCCUUUCUUCAUUUUUCUGCCUGGAAUGCAAAUGUGAUGGCUAACACCCUAGCAGCCAUUUUAGAUUAUGAAGAUGAGAGUCACUCCCCAGGAAGGGUGGACCUGAAAGCUGGAUUCUAGAUGUGGAAUGACAAUACCAGCCCUGGACUACCUACCUGUAGGCUGUGUGUGUGUGUGUGUGAUUGACAGAGAGAGAGAGAGAUAGAUACCACAAGUAACACAAAGCAUCAUACCUGGGACUGGGAAGGUUAAUGUUUAAACAUUUUAAAUGUGGCAUUGGUUUGUUGAAGACAGUCAAGCAGUAGGUGCUGCAGGCUUUGUUGAGGCUAGAAAGCUGUUGGUCUUUAUUAGGUGAUGGCAAAACAAUGGAUCACAUUUUCAUGUGCUGUGUCUUGGGAGGCAAAUGAUGAGAAUGUAGGAUUGGGGAAAAUGGUAAGGAAAAUCCAAAAUGUUCAUGUUUUCUAACCCCUUCUUGCCAAUCUUAAAAGAAGGACAAACAGGCUAGAUUAAGCAAGUCUACAGUUACAAUUGGAAGGAAACACAGCCGUACUAAGGAAGUACUCUGUCUGUGGCCUGCAGUCUAGUUUGACUAGGUCCUGUAUUUGAGCUUUGAAAGAGUAAAGAAUACAAGUGCUCGUAUACCCCUGAAGUAGUUACCAGCAGUGACUGCAAGGAGGUAAUCUUAUGGGAUGAAACUAUAACUCUGUAUUAACCAUCAUAUAUAGCAUAUAUGUGUAUAUGUAUGUGUGUGUGUGUAUAUGUGUAUAUAAAUAUAUGUGUGUGUAUAUACACACAUGUACACACCCUACAACCCAGUGAUUUCAAAAAAUUAAACAUUUGUUUAGCUCAUGAAUCUGUGGGUUGGGUGAACAUUUCUAUUGGUCUUGGCUGGGCUCACCUGUACCCAGUCAGCUGCAGGGUCUAGCUCUUCUUAUCUUGGCUGGGAUCUCACACAUGUCUAGGAUCAGCUGCUUUACUAGUCUAGGAUUGUCUUGGCUGAGACAGGUGGACUACUCAGUUCUCCUCCACUGCCUUAUCCUUCAGCUGGCCAGCCCAGAAAUGUUGCCAUGUUUACAGCAUAAGAGCAAGCAAGAAAGAAUAAUAUGCAACCACUUUUCCAAGCCUAAGGUGAAAGGGCGGGCAGAACCUGUGGUGUUAGGAGGCAACUCAUACCAGCCCAUGGGUCUACCGUUUAAUUUUCAGAAAUUUGGCAAGCUGAUUGUUAACACAGCUGUUGUUUAAUUUAUGUACUUGUAAUUAAAUAAUUUACAUUAAAACAAAGAUAAUAGGUACUCAAAACUCAUGACUUUCUAGUUAUUUUAUUAUAUUUUACUAUUGUCUGUCCUCUUAAGGUGUUUGUUUCUAGUGUAUCUGGUGGAAACACUACUUCAUGUUUCAGUUGUGUCAAACCAGUAGCUUGAAAUCAGCCACUGUUGGAGUGUUUAUACCACAGAAAUUGAUAGAAGCUACAAAUGAAGUGUUGCUUGUUGAUUUGUUUUGUUAAUUGUCUGGCUUAAGAAAGUGGUAGAGAAAACAUUAAUGCAGAUUAAAUUUAAAAGCGUGUUGUGUCUGCGGCCGUUACAUUGCAAAUACAAAAAAUAAUUGAGGAAAUGUUCUUUGAAAACUAUUAUCUAAUUCUGCAAAGUUGUCACCUCAUUUACAAACAACUGCAGUUUCAGCUACCUCUUUAUUGUUUUACUUUCCUCUUACUGACAAUGAGAAUAUCAAUUAACAUUCAUGUCAGAACUACACUUGCUCAUGAACUACAACUGUA